rnacentral:rRNA from 1 species
AUUGAACGCUGGCGGCAUGCCUUACACAUGCAAGUCGAACGGCAGCAUGAUCUAGCUUGCUAGAUUGAUGGCGAGUGGCGAACGGGUGAGUAAUACAUCGGAACGUGCCCUGUAGUGGGGGAUAACUAGUCGAAAGAUUAGCUAAUACCGCAGACGACCUGAGGGUGAAAGUGGGGGACCGCAAGGCCUCAUGCUAUAGUAGCGGCCGAUGUCUGAUUAGCGAGUUGGUGGGGUAAAGGCUCACCAAGUCGACGAUCAGUAGCUGGUCUGAGAGGACGAUCAGCCACACUGGGACUGAGACACGGCCCAGACUCCUACGGGAGGCAGCAGUGGGGAAUUUUGGACAAUGGGCGAAAGCCUGAUCCAGCAAUGCAGCGUGUGUGAAGAAGGCCUUCGGGUUGUAAAGCACUUUUGUCCGGAAAGAAAUGGCUCUGGUUAAUACCUGGGGUCGAUGACGGUACCGGAAGAAUAAGGACCGGCUAACUACGU